rnacentral:pre_miRNA from 1 species
AAGCUACUUCCUCUGUUUCGAAUUACUUUGUCAUAAAUAUGGAUGUAUCUAGAUAUAUUUUAGUUUUAUGUACAUCCAUAUCUACUACGAGUAAUUUGAAACGGAGGGAGUACUAC